GGCAACUUAGCUCAGUUGGGCGCCAGAGUGAAGUUCUGGGUCGUCGGUGGUUCAAUUCCAUCAGUUGCCA
rnacentral:tRNA from 1 species